AGUGAACGCUGGCGGUAGGCCUAACACAUGCAAGUCGAACGGCAGCACAGUAAGAGCUUGCUCUUACGGGUGGCGAGUGGCGGACGGGUGAGGAAUACAUCGUAAUCUACUUUUUCGUGGGGGAUAACGUAGGGAAACUUACGCUAAUACCGCAUACGACCUACGGGUGAAAGCAGGGGAUCUUCGGACCUUGCGCGAUUGAAUGAGCCGAUGUCGGAUUAGCUAGUUGGCGGGGUAAAGGCCCACCAAGGCGAGGAUCCGUAGCUGGUCUGAGAGGAUGAUAGGCCACACUGGAACUGAGACACGGUCCAGACUCCUACGAGAGGCAGCAGUGGGGAAUAGUGGACAAUGGGCGCAAGCCUGAUCCAGCCAUACCGCGUGGGUGAAGAAGGCCUUCGGGUUGUAAAGCCCUUUUGUUGGGAGAGAAAAGCAGCAGGUUAAUACCCCGCUGUUCUGACGGUACCCAAAGAAUAAGCACCGGCUAACUUCGUG
rnacentral:rRNA from 1 species